rnacentral:rRNA from 1 species
UACGUAGGGUCCAAGCGUUAUCCGGAAUUACUGGGCGUAAAGCGUGUGUAGGCGGGCGAUCAAGUACCUUGUGAAAUCCCACGGCUCAACCGUGGAACCGCUGGGUAUACUGGUUGUCUUGAGCCGGCUAGGGGCGAGCGGAACAGACGGUGGAGCGGUGAAAUGCGUAGAUAUCUGGAGGAACACCGGUGGCGAAGGCGGCAUCCUGGACCGACACUGACGCUGAGGAGCGAAAGCCAGGGGAGCAAACGGG